GAUGAACGCUGGCGGCGUGCCUAAUUCAUGCAAGUCGAGCGAACGGACGAGAAGCUUGCUUCUCUGAUGUUAGCGGCGGACGGGUGAGUAACACGUGGAUAACUUACCUAUAAGACUGGGAUAACUUCGGGAAACCGGAGCUAAUACCGGAUAAUAUUUUGAACCGCAUGGUUCAAAAGUGAAAGACGGUCUUGCUGUCACUUAUAGAUGGAUCCGCGCUGCAUUAGCUAGUUGGUAAGGUAACGGCUUACCAAGGCAACGAUGCAUAGCCGACCUGAGAGGGUGAUCGGCCACACUGGAACUGAGACACGGUCCAGACUCCUACGGGAGGCAGCAGUAGGGAAUCUUCCGCAAUGGGCGAAAGCCUGACGGAGCAACGCCGCGUGAGUGAUGAAGGUCUUCGGAUCGUAAAACUCUGUUAUUAGGGAAGAACAUAUGUGUAAGUAACUGUGCACAUCUUGACGGUACCUAAUCAGAAAGCCACGGCUAACUACGUG
rnacentral:rRNA from 1 species